GUAAACCUUUUUUGCCGGGGAGCAAAGUGCCGCACGUGUGCGGUUUGGAGAGUACCCGGAGAAAAAGCAUCGGCUAACUCCGUGCCAGCAGCCGCGGUAAUACGGAGGAUGCGAGCGUUAUCCGGAUUUAUUGGGUUUAAAGGGUGCGUAGGCGGACGCUUAAGUCAGCGGUAAAAUUGCGGGGCUCAACCUCGUCGAGCCGUUGAAACUGGGUGCCUUGAGUGGGCGAGAAGUACGCGGAAUGCGUGGUGUAGCGGUGAAAUGCAUAGAUAUCACGCAGAACUCCGAUUGCGAAGGCAGCGUACCGGCGCCCAACUGACGCUGAAGCACGAAGGCGUGGGUAUCGAACAGGAUUAGAUACCCUGGUAGUCCACGCAGUAAACGAUGAAUGCUAGUUGUCCGGGGCGAUUGAGUUCUGG
rnacentral:rRNA from 1 species